CGCACCUUGCGCUCCUUGGUAUUCCGAGGAGCAUGCCUGUUUGAGUGUCUUGAAGUCAUCAACCCCGAACGUUUCUUGCGGAGCGUGCGGCGGUUGGAUCUGGGGGCUCUGCCGAUCGUGCGCGAGCCGGCUCCCCUCAAAUGCUUCGGUUGGGCCUGUGGGUUGAACUCGACUGGGCGUUGUACCAUCCUCGCUCGAACGAGAGGGACCCCUCUUGCGCCCUUCCUCGACCAGCCCCUCUGACGGGGCGGUCAAUCAAGCUUUGAAAUCUGACCUCAAAUCAGGUAGGACUACCCGCUGAACUUAA
rnacentral:misc_RNA from 1 species